rnacentral:rRNA from 1 species
AACGAACGCUGGCGGCGCGUCUUAAGCAUGCAAGUCGAACGGCAAGAGAGGAGCUUGCUUCUCUCCUAGAGUGGCGGACUGGUGAGGAACACGUGGGUAAUCUACCCUUAAGAUGGGGAUAGCUGCUAGAAAUAGCAGGUAAUACCGAAUACACUCGGCAUAUCACAAGAGGUGUUGAGGAAAGGAAGCUACGGCUUCGCUUGAGGAUGAGCUUACGUCCCAUUAGCUAGUUGGUGAGGUAAAGGCCCACCAAGGCGACGAUGGGUAUCCGGCCUGAGAGGGUGAACGGACACAUUGGGACUGUGAUACGGCCCAAACUCCUACGGGAGGCAGCAGCUAAGAAUAUUCCGCAAUGGACGGAAGUCUGACGGAGCGACGCCGCGUGGAUGAAGAAGGCUGAAAAGUUGUAAAAUCCUUUUGUUGAUGAAGAAUAAGGGUGAGAGGGAAUGCUCAUCUGAUGACGGUAAUCGACGAAUAAGCCCCGGCUAAUUACGUG